rnacentral:sRNA from 1 species
UGAAGUCUGACGAGGAUGAGAACCUCCGGGGGCAAGAGGUUCGACCCGAGCGAAGCGAGAGAACGUUGCGUCAGCAACGGCCCGCAGGGCGAGCCACGCAGUGGCGAGUCAUCCUCUAUCACCGACCA